CACUGGCCCCCUCACCUUUUCCUUUCCAGCUGUUUGGGGCUCAGCUAAGUGACCACACAGGAGAGCAGUGAGGCCAUUUGAGGCCUGAGCCUGGUCCUCAGGACUCGACUCUCUCUCCCUGCCAUCAAGCAGCCUGCCCCAGCCCUGCCAGCCAUCUCCACACUCCUCUGACAGAAUGAAUGCCCUCGAUGGUGUUCCCUUCAAGUUGCCCAAGGGCUUUGUGAUAGGCACAGAGCCUCUCCCUGGGCCAGAACUCAGCAUCCCAGCCUGCGGGGAGGUUCUGCUGGGUUCUAUGUACGACUUCAGCCUGGAGAGGACGGCACUCUUCUGGGUGGAGGCCGCCGGCCAGGGACCCAGCCCGUACCAGUGCGGUGACCCGGGGACAGCGUCAGCCCCUCCAGCCUGGCUCUUGCUAGCCAGCCCCGAACAUGGGCUGGCGCCUGCGCCUACCACAAUCAGAGACCCAGAGGCCGGACACCAGGAGAGGCCGGAGGAGGAGGGUGAGGACGAGGCAGAAGCCUCCUCUGGCAGCAAGGAAGAGCCGGCCCCCAGCAGCCUCCAACCGGGUUCCCCGGCGAGCCCCGGCCCCGGCCGUCGCCUGUGCUCGCUGGACGUGCUGCGCGGCGUGCGGUCGGAGCUGGCAGGAGCGCGGCGGCGGCUCUCCGAGGGGAAGCUGGUUGCCCGGCCCCGCGCCCUCCUGCACGGCCUCCGCGGCCACCGCGCGCUAAGCCUGUGCCCAAGCCCCGCGCCGUCCCCAAGGUCCGCAUCACCCCCGGGGCCCGCGCCCCAGCACCCCGCUGCCCCCGUGUCGCCCCCGCGGCCCUCCACGGCAGGCGCCAUCCCCCCACUGCGGAGCCACAAGCCCACGGUCGCGUCCCUCAGCCCGUACACCUGUCUGCCACCUCUUGGGGGGGCACCCCAGCCUCUCAACCCCCACAAGUCACACCCUGAUACUGCGGCUGACCUGCUGUCUGCCCUGAGCCAGGAGGAGCAAGACCUCAUUGGGCCAGUGGUCGCCCUGGGAUAUCCCCUGCGAAGGGCCAUCAUAGCUCUGCAGAAGACAGGGAGGCAGAGCCUGAGCCAGUUUCUCAGCUACCUCAGUGCCUGUGACCGCCUGUUACGUCAGGGAUAUGAGGAAGGCCUGGUGGAUGAGGCCAUGGAGAUGUUCCAGUUCUCUGAGAGCCAGGCAGGGGAGUUCCUGCGCCUCUGGGAGCAGUUCAGUGACAUGGGCUUCCAGCAGGACCGGAUCAAAGAGGUGCUGCUGGUCCAUGGCAACCGCCGAGAGCAAGCCCUGGAGGAGCUGGUGGCCUGUGCCCAGUGACCAUGGAGGCACUCCACGAUGCCUGGGCAUCCAGGCCCAGUGCCAGACCUGGUGACUCAUCCUAACUGUAUUAUUAAAACCAAGGUGGGGAGGUUGCGACCAGAGUUGUCUCCAGUCACCCAAGGCCUAUCGUUCAGAAGUCCCCAAGCAUUGAGGGGACCAGUUGCUGGAGCAGCCCAUAACUCAAGCAAGCAGAGGCCAGGGGCCAAGACUCUGGUGCCUCUGUCCUCCCCAGCCGGCCCUGCGCAAAGACCUGAAACAAUUACCGCAGAAUCAAAACAUCUCAGCCCCCUCCACCCUGCAAACAGGGCUGGACCUGGAACUGAGAGGCCUAUAAAAAAAAACGAACAACUUCCACGUUUCUCAGGGCUUCAACCCCAGAGACUCAUCUGAAUGUGUAAUGGGGACUUCUGCAGGCCUACACACAGCAAGCUUGCAACUAGAACCAGGUCUCCAGAGGCCCAAUAGCCCCUCGGUGGUUUCCACUAAGUCUCAAUGCCUGCCAACUUGAAAUCACAAUAAAAAUAUUCUUUGGCCUUAAAACUUGCCUUGAAUAACUUUCAGGCAGCACAAAACCAUUAGAGAAAAUGGGCAAGAUGUUGUAAAGUUGGAAAUAUGUCUGUCUGUUGCCAAAAGUAAAACUACACUUGAAAGAGACAGUAAAAUUAAAGUUCAAUUUCUAAGAUGCAAUGUUAGGUCCAAAGCUAUUUAUGUUCUGAUUAAGGUAACCUGGCCUUGGUCCACCACUUUACUAAGUCCCCUUGAUUAGAGGCGACCAGUUGACAGGCCCAUCCAUUAUUCCUAUCUUUCUCCCACAUGCCCCAAAUCUGCCCAUCCCUAGCAAACUGUUGCUUGAUUAAAAAUGUGACAUCUCGCCAGGUGCGGUGAC